CUCAGUAACACGUGGAUAACCUACCCUUAGGACUGGAAUAACCCCGGGAAACUGGGGAUAAUACCGGAUAGAUCAGGGAUGCUGGAAUGCACCUUGAUCCAAAGCCCCGGCGCCUAAGGAUGGGUCUGCGGCCUAUCAGGUUGUAGUGGGUGUAACGUACCUACUAGCCAACGACGGGUACGGGUUGUGAGAGCAAGAGCCCGGAGAUGGAUUCUGAGACACGAAUCCAGGCCCUACGGGGUGCAGCAGGCGCGGAACCUUUACAAUGUGCGAAAGCAUGAUAAGGGGACUCCGAGUGCCAGCAUCUAAUGCUGGCUGUCCUUGUGCCUAAAAAGCGCAAGAUAGCAAGGGCCGGGUAAGACCGGUGCCAGCCGCCGCGGUAACACCGGCGGCCCGAGUGGUAGCCGCUAUUAUUGGGUCUAAAGGGUCCGUAGCCGGUUCGGUAAGUCCUUUGGGAAAUCUGGUUGCUUAACAAUCAGACUGCCAAGGGAUACUGCUGAACUUGAGACCGGGAGAGGUAAGAGGUACUUCAGGGGUAGGAGUGAAAUCUUGUGAUCCCUGGGGGACCAUCUGUGGCGAAGGCGUCUUACCAGAACGGGUCUGACGGUGAGGGACGAAAGCUGGGGGCGCAAACCGGAUUAGAUACCCGGGUAGUCCCAGCCGUAAACGAUGCUCGCUAUGUGUCAGGUACGGUGCGACCGUAUCUGGUGCCGUAGGGAAGCCGUGAAGCGAGCCACCUGGGAAGUACGGUCGCAAGACUGAAACUAAAG
rnacentral:rRNA from 1 species